UCUAAAUCCCCUGGACACAGGAAUUCUAGACUAUCACUUUAGGAAUUUUAAGCCUUGUCCUAAUGACAAGCUAUUUAAGAACAAGGAAAAGGGUGUCAGACAGCGUGGCAAAUAAUUCUUGUGAGAACAUGAAGGAAAGCAGGCAAAGAUCUCUGUAGGAUCACCAUCUUGUUGGGAAGAACUGUCCAGAACAAGCGCUCCAGGAGGCUGUGCAGAUGACCUCCAGCACUGUCCAGUCACAACAACCUCACGCCCUCCUGCUUCCCUUCACAGCAGCUAAGUGAAAACAACACAGCACCCAUGUGUAGGAUCCUAACAUCAACGACCCGUGUUCUAGAUGGUAUACGGGCAUACCUGGAAACGUUUACAAUAUAACUGGGGAGAACUCAUAGACAGUCAUACAAAUUAAAGCAGAAUACUUAUUGAAACAUAUUUUUUGACAUUUCAAAUUUAUAUUGAAAUAAAAAUUGUGCCCAUU